AGAGUUUGAUCCUGGCUCAGGACGAACGCUGGCGGCACGCUUAACACAUGCAAGUCGAACGAGAGAAGAGGAGCUUGCUUUUCUGAUCUAGUGGCGGACGGGUGAGUAACACGUGAGCAAUCUGCCUUUCAGAGGGGGAUACCGAUUGGAAACGAUCGUUAAUACCGCAUAACAUAAUUGAACCGCAUGAUUUGAUUAUCAAAGAUUUAUCGCUGAAAGAUGAGCUCGCGUCUGAUUAGCUAGUUGGUAAGGUAACGGCUUACCAAGGCGACGAUCAGUAGCCGGACUGAGAGGUUGAUCGGCCACAUUGGGACUGAGACACGGCCCAGACUCCUACGGGAGGCAGCAGUGGGGAAUAUUGCACAAUGGAGGAAACUCUGAUGCAGCGAUGCCGCGUGAGGGAAGAAGGUUUUAGGAUUGUAAACCUCUGUCUUCAGGGACGAAAAAAGACGGUACCUGAGGAGGAAGCUCCGGCUAACUACGUGCCAGCAGCCGCGGUAAUACGUAGGGAGCGAGCGUUGUCCGGAAUUACUGGGUGUAAAGGGAGCGUAGGCGGGAUCGCAAGUCAGAUGUGAAAACUAUGGGCUUAACCCAUAAACUGCAUUUGAAACUGUGGUUCUUGAGUGAAGUAGAGGUAAGCGGAAUUCCUAGUGUAGCGGUGAAAUGCGUAGAUAUUAGGAGGAACAUCAGUGGCGAAGGCGGCUUACUGGGCUUUAACUGACGCUGAGGCUCGAAAGCGUGGGGAGCAAACAGGAUUAGAUACCCUGGUAGUCCACGCCGUAAACGAUGAUUACUAGGUGUGGGGGGACUGACCCCUUCCGUGCCGCAGCAAACGCAAUAAGUAAUCCACCUGGGGAGUACGACCGCAAGGUUGAAACUCAAAGGAAUUGACGGGGGCCCGCACAAGCAGUGGAGUAUGUGGAUUAAUUCGAAGCAACGCGAAGAACCUUACCAGGUCUUGACAUCGUAUGCAUAGCUCAGAGAUGAGUGAAAUCUCUUCGGAGACAUAUAGACAGGUGGUGCAUGGUUGUCGUCAGCUCGUGUCGUGAGAUGUUGGGUUAAGUCCCGCAACGAGCGCAACCCUUACUGUUAGUUGCUACGCAAGAGCACUCUAGCAGGACUGCCGUUGACAAAACGGAGGAAGGUGGGGAUGAUGUCAAAUCAUCAUGCCCCUUAUGACCUGGGCCUCACACGUACUACAAUGGCUGUCAACAGAGGGAAGCAAAGCCGCGAGGUGGAGCGAACCCCUAAAAGCAGUCUUAGUUCGGAUUGUAGGCUGCAACCCGCCUACAUGAAGUCGGAAUUGCUAGUAAUCGCAGAUCAGCAUGCUGCGGUGAAUACGUUCCCGGGCCUUGUACACACCGCCCGUCACGCCAUGGGAGUCGGUAACACCCGAAGCCUGUAGUCUAACCGCAAGGAGGACGCAGUCGAAGGUGGGAUUGAUGACUGGGGUGAAGUCGUAACAAGGUA
rnacentral:rRNA from 1 species